rnacentral:rRNA from 1 species
AGUGAACGCUGGCGGCAGGCCUAACACAUGCAAGUCGAGCGGCAGCGCAGCAGUAGCAAUACUGUGGGCGGCGAGCGGCGGACGGGUGAGGAAUACAUCGGAAUUUACCCAAUCGUGGGGGAUAACGUAGGGAAACUUACGCUAAUACCGCAUGAACUGGAGACAGCAAAGCGGCGGACCGAAAGGCGUCGCGCGGUUGGAUGAGCCGAUGUCGGAUUAGCAGUUGGCGGGGUAAAGGCCCACCAAGGCGACGAUCCGUAGCUGGUCUGAGAGGAUGAUCAGCCACACUGGGACUGAGACACGGCCCAGACUCCUACGGGAGGCAGCAGUGGGGAAUAUUGGACAAUGGGCGCAAGCCUGAUCCAGCCAUGCCGCGUGUGUGAAGAAGGCCUCGGUUGUAA